GAUGAACGCUAGCUACAGGCUUAACACAUGCAAGUCGAGGGGUAGCAGGGUAGCAAUACCGCUGACGACCGGCGCACGGGUGAGUAACACGUAUCCAACCUUCCCAUAACUCGGGGAUAGCCUUUCGAAAGAAAGAUUAAUACCCGAUAGUACUUUUUCAAGGCAUCUUGAGAAAGUUAAGGAUUUAUUGGUUAUGGAUGGGGAUGCGUUCCAUUAGAUAGUUGGUGAGGUAACGGCUCACCAAGUCUUCGAUGGAUAGGGGUUCUGAGAGGAAGGUCCCCCACAUUGGUACUGAGACACGGGCCAAACUCCUACGGGAGGCAGCAGUGAGGAAUAUUGGUCAAUGGGCGAGAGCCUGAACCAGCCAAGUAGCGUGAAGGAUGAAGGUCCUAUGGAUUGUAAACUUCUUUUAUAGUAGAAUAAAGUGAUCCACGUGUGGAUUUUUGUAUGUAUACUAUGAAUAAGGAUCGGCUAACCCCGUGCCAGCCGCCGCCGUAA
rnacentral:rRNA from 1 species